UUCUUGUAGGGUGGAAUGCCAGAGGGUGCUCUGCAAAGAAGGGGCUCAGUGUUCUUCCUGUCUCCCAGGAAAGCUGGUGUGGGCAUUUAUUUUUAUCAAGCUUCACAUCCUAGGGAAUGGUGCUGACUUUUCCUUGGAGAUGAAAUGUAGUAACAGGGGUUGGGGAGCCACUCGGACCCUAGCGUGCCUUCCUGAUGUGCUAUGUGGGGGCCUGGGAGUGGGCCAGCCAGCUGGGGGAGGCACUUCUGUUCCUCUUGGCUGUGUAACCCUGUCUGGGAUGGGGUUGGAUGUCCACCUCCCAGGGCUCCUUGAAGACAGGACCGCGGCAGUCUCCUCCCAGCAUCCAGUGCCGUCUGCCCCACACACUCUCUAGUGACCUCAUUUAACCAAUUCUCUUCCCUGGUUCCACGGCCGUCAUCUGAACGUGACCUCUCUCAAGACACAGGGCGAGGACCACGUCUCUGCUGAAUCCCAGCCCAGAGGAGCUUCUGGCAGAGAGCUGACAUGCGGCAGGGGUAACAUGAUGUGUGCUAUGACAACAGGCCAAAUGUGGAAGGAGAGACUGAUGAUCCGCUGUCUUCUCUGAAGCCAGGCUUUAAAAAGACCUGCACAAAGCUGAAGCAAUGCCACUCUUCUCACUGUUUGUUUUUAUUUUGGAAAAACAGUUAUUUU
rnacentral:lncRNA from 1 species